rnacentral:rRNA from 1 species
AUGGCUCAUUAUAACAGAUAUGAUUUGAGAGAAAUAAACUUUUUGCUACAAGAUAACUGUGGAUAAUUCUAGAGCUAAUAUUUUUAAGAAUGCUGUGACUUCCGAAGCAGCGGAUUUAUUAGAUCAAAACUAACCUGCCUGCAAAGACAGUUUAUUGAUGACUCUGGAUAACUUUACUGAUCGAACAACCUUGUGUUGACGACGUAUCUCUUGAAAUGGCUGACCUAUCAACUUUCGAUGGUAAGAUCAAAGCUUACCAUGGUUGUAACGGGUAACGGGGAAUCAGCGUUUGAUUCCGGAGAGGGAGCCUGAGAAACGGCUACCACAUCCACGGAAGGCAGCAGGCGCGCAAAUUACCCAAUACCGGCUCGGUGAGGUAGUGACAAAAAAUAACAAUAUGGGCCCUAGUGGUUUCAUAAUUGCAAUGAGAAUAUUUUAAAUACUUUAUCAAGUAUCAAUUGGAGGGCAAGUCUGGUGCCAGCAGCCGCGGUAAUUCCAGCUCCAAAAGCGUAUAUUAAAGUUGUUGCAGUUAAAAAGCUCGUAGUUGAAAUUCGGGUACCCAAAUGAUUUGAUAUCUUUUGAUAAAAAAUUUAUUUGGACCUUUUGUGUCGGGAUAUUAUUCAGGUACUUUAUUGUAUCAUGACCGACUUGUUUACUUUGAAAAAAUUAGAGUGCUUAAAGCAGGCUUAUGCUUGUAUAUUGUUGCAUGGAAUAAUAAAAUACGACUUCGGUUUUAUUUUGUUGGUUUUCGAAACUGAAGUAAUGAUUAAAAGAGACGGCCGGGGGGCUAAUGUAUGCUGGUGUUAGAGGUGAAAUUCUUAGAUCAUCAGCAGACAAUCUACUGCGAAAGCAUUUGCCAAGAAUGUUUUCAUUAAUCAAGAACGAAAGUCAGAGGAUCGAAGACGAUCAGAUACCGUCCUAGUUCUGACCAUAAACUAUGCCAACUGACAGUUAGUUAAGGUAUAUUCAUAUCCCUGCUAGAAGUCNCCGGGAAACCAAAGUNUAUGGGUUCCGGGGGAAGUAUGGUUGCAAAGCUGAAACUUAAAGGAAUUGACGGAAGGGCACCACANGGAGUGGAGCCUGCGGCUUAAUUUGACUCAACNCGGGAAAUCUCACCCGGUCCGGACNCUAUAAGGAUUGACAGAUUGAUAGCUCUUUCUUGAUUUGGUGGGUGGUGGUGCAUGGCCGUUNUUAGUUGGUGGAGCGAUUUGUNUGGUUAAUUCCGAUAACGAACGAGACUCGAACCUGCUAACUAGUGUAUCUGUGUUAAAUUGCAGAUACUUCACUUCUUAGAGGAAUAAAUAGCGUUUAGCUAAAUGAAAAUGAGCAAUAACAGGUCUGUGAUGCCCUUAGAUGUCCGGGGCCGCACGCGCGCUACAAUGGCAGUAACAACGAGUUUUAUUCCUAUCCAGAAAUGGUCGGGUAAUCUUUUGAAUCACUGUCGUAUCAGGAAUAGUGCUUUGAAAUUUUUGCACUUGAACGAGGAAUUCCUAGUAAGCGCAAGUCACUAACUUGCGCUGAUUACGUCCCUGCCCUUUGUACACACCGCCCGUCGCUACUACCGAUUGAAUGGUUUAGUGAGAUUGUUGGAUUCUAAUUUAAGAAAUGGCAACAUUUCU